rnacentral:rRNA from 1 species
GUGGGGAAUAUUGCACAAUGGGCGCAAGCCUGAUGCAGCCAUGCCGCGUGUAUGAAGAAGGCCUUCGGGUUGUAAAGUACUUUCAGCGGGGAGGAAGGCGUUGUGGUUAAUAACCACAGCGAUUGACGUUACCCGCAGAAGAAGCACCGGCUAACUCCGUGCCAGCAGCCGCGGUAAUACGGAGGGUGCAAGCGUUAAUCGGAAUUACUGGGCGUAAAGCGCACGCAGGCGGUCUGUCAAGUCGGAUGUGAAAUCCCCGGGCUCAACCUGGGAACUGCAUUCGAAACUGGCAGGCUAGAGUCUUGUAGAGGGGGGUAGAAUUCCAGGUGUAGCGGUGAAAUGCGUAGAGAUCUGGAGGAAUACCGGUGGCGAAGGCGGCCCCCUGGACAAAGACUGACGCUCAGGUGCGAAAGCGUGGGGAGCAAACAGGAUUAGAAACCCCAGUAGUCC